rnacentral:rRNA from 1 species
AGUGAACGCUGGCGGUAGGCCUAACACAUGCAAGUCGAACGGCAGCACAGUAAGAGCUUGCUCUUACGGGUGGCGAGUGGCGGACGGGUGAGGAAUACAUCGGAAUCUACUUUUUCGUGGAUAACGUAGGGAAACUUACGCUAAUACCGCAUACGACCUACGGGUGAAAGCAGGGGAUCUUCGGACCUUGCGCGAUUGAAUGAGCCGAUGUCGGAUUAGCUAGUUGGCGGGGUAAAGGCCCACCAAGGCGACGAUCCGUAGCUGGUCUGAGAGGAUGAUCAGCCACACUGGAACUGAGACACGGUCCAGACUCCUACGGGAGGCAGCAGUGGGGAAUAUUGGACAAUGGGCGCAAGCCUGAUCCAGCCAUACCGCGUGGGUGAAGAAGGCCUUCGGGUUGUAAAGCCCUUUUGUUGGGAAAGAAAAGCAGCAGGUUAAUACCCCGCUGUUCUGACGGUACCCAAAGAAUAAGCACCGGCUAACUUCGUG